UACGUAGGUGGCAAGCGUUGUCCGGAUUUACUGGGUGUAAAGGGCGUGCAGCCGGGAGUGCAAGUCAGAUGUGAAAUCCUGCGGCUUAACCGCAGAACUGCAUUUGAAACUGUUGAUCUUGAGUACUGGAGAGGCAGACGGAAUUCCUAGUGUAGCGGUGAAAUGCGUAGAUAUUAGGAGGAACACCAGUGGCGAAGGCGGCCUGCUGGGCUUUAACUGACGCUGAGGCUCGAAAGCGUGGGUAGCAAACAGG
rnacentral:rRNA from 1 species